GGCACCUAGGGUGUUUUUUUGUUUAACUUGUGGACAAAAACUCAUAGAAAGUGCAAAAAAUCCUCUUUUGCAGCCCAGAACUCAUUGUCCAGUGUAAGUUUUGGUACAUGUAAGAAGGAAUAUG
rnacentral:snoRNA from 1 species